UACGUAGGGGGCAAGCGUUGUCCGGAUUUAUUGGGCGUAAAGAGCGUGUAGGCGGCCUGACAAGUCUGCUGUGAAAACUCGAGGCUCAACCUCGAGAUGUCGGCGGAAACUGUCUGGCUAGAGUCCGGAAGAGGCGAGUGGAAUUCCUGGUGUAGCGGUGGAAUGCGCAGAUAUCAGGAGGAACACCAAUAGCGAAGGCAGCUCGCUGGGACGGUACUGACGCUGAGGCGCGAAAGCGUGGGGAGCGAACAGG
rnacentral:rRNA from 1 species